CAAUAGCGUAUAUUUAAGUUGUUGCAGUUAAAAAGCUCGUAGUUGGAUUUCGGAUGGGACUUGCCGGUCCGUCGUUUCGAUGUGCACUGGCCAGUCCUAUCUUGUUGUCGGGGACUAGCUCCUGGGCUUCACUGUCCGGGACUAGGAGCUGACGAGGUUACUUUGAGUAAAUUAGAGUGUUCAAAGCAAGCCUACGCUCUGAAUACAUUAGCAUGGAAUAACACGAUAGGACUCUGGCUUAUCUUGUUGGUCUGUGAGACCAGAGUAAUGAUUAAGAGGGACAGUCGGGGGCAUUCGUAUUUCAGUGUCAGAGGUGAAAUUCUUGGAUUUAUGAAAGACGAACUUCUGCGAAAGCAUUUGUCAAGGAUGUUUUCAUUAA
rnacentral:rRNA from 1 species